UGCAGAAAACUAAAAACCGAAAAUAAAGUCCCAAAAUUAGUUCAAAGGUUCAAAAGUCUAGAAAAUUUAAUUACUAAUUAAAUUAAACCAUCUUAUGUGAGAAAAACCCAAUCCAAGCUGUCGAGACGCUGCUGAUCCCUAAUUUUGCAGAUUACUUGAAGAGAUAAAGUAAAUGAGUGAGCUAUGAAGUUCAGUGUGCGAUUUAACUCAAGCAUAAGUACAGAUAAUGUAAUAACCAUAUUAGAAUAUCAUAGAGAAUUUUAUAAUGAUUAAUUGAGCAAAAUUGAGAAUGCAUGAUUAUGUCAAUGCAGUAUUUUUCAAAAAAAAAUAUAAUGCAGAUUUUUCAAAAAUUUCCUACCCAACUCCGCUACACACCAAAUAGAGUUCCCCAAUACUCAUCCAUCCAAAACACACCAACAGAUAAUUGUGGUCAAUGCCAUCAGAGUCGUAGAUAAACUGCCAAAACAAAUAUAUAUGGUUAAACUACUAGAUAGUGCAGGUCAUUAAACUACCAGAACUUCCUUCUUACUAUAUCAUUCGCACCCCAUACAAUGUGACAUGGCACGCAAAUACAGAAUUAGAACAGUUAGCAAGUUGAUCAUGCAACCUUAUAAUAAACAGAAAUCAAUAGACAUAAAACUCCAUACUUUACAAAACAAAAGAAUCAAAUUCAAUAAUCACAAAUCAAUUUCGCCAUAAUGUCACAUGCUACUAAUACUAUCAAAUAUACAGAUCACAUAUAUAUACAAUUUAUUCAGAAAAUAUACACACAUAACAGAACAAAAGAUUACAUUGAUCGAUCCAUCAUAAAUAUCAUUCGUCAGAGUCUAUGUAAUCAUUAACCUCAAAUAUGCAAUCCAAAACUCAACCCUAAUUAAACUUAUUCAAAAUGGGCCCACAUGCCCGUGUGGCCUACACACCCUACCUGGCACAGCCCGUGUGGGCCACAUAGUCGAACACAUGCCCGUUUGGCUUACACGGCUUGCCACACGACUAGAAACACGAUCGUGUAGCAUCGACAAUUUCGGUUUUUCACUGUUUUACAAAAUUUUAAGUUAGCGCCACACACCUGAAUACUUUCGGGAUGUCGACAGAACAUCAACAUACCAAAAUUUGCCCAUAUGGCAUCCACAAUUAAUCAAGUAAUGAUCACUUAAAAAGAUUCAACCCUAACUUCCCUAGCAUUCGACGAAUAGCAAUAAGGCACUCGACCCUUUGUGAGCUAAAUUUUCGCAACCAGCCCCUAAACUUGGGCGUUAGAAACUUACCCUAGAAAAGAAGAUUAUCGAAUUCAACUCAUUGGAGGAAUAUGCAUCACACAACCUUUACCUAAACAGAAUUACACGAAAGAAAACGAUCAAAAUCUCCAUAACUGAACUCAACCAUCUAUCACAGCCUUCUUAGAAAAACCAAAAUAUAAUAGCACCCUAAACGAAUAAUGCUUUAUAAAAGAAAAGAAAAAACGACGAUCAUACCAACUCUCUUAUCUCACACGACCAGCAACAAAUCCAGAAGAAGCGACGACACCAGUCAGAAGAGUAACAAAAUAGAAGACAAAAGGAGCGACAAAAGAAAAAUCAAAGGGACUAAUGUGAAGAAUACAAAGAAAAAUGUGAGAGAGAUGAAGAAGUAAAAAGAAAAUUCCCAGUAACCAAAGAGAAAAACAGACGUGCAAGCAAAAUGGAGAAAGUGGAAAAUGGGGAGUUGGGAAAGUGAGGAAUGGCAAAAACAAAGGGUAAGCUAAGGCCUUACUAUUGAACUAGUAAGCUUAUUCUUGCCAGCAAAUUAACAAAAAUUAAAGAUAACCCUUACGAACCAAAUCAGGUAUGGAAUCAAAAUUAAUAAAGAAUUUUCUAAGGAAAAAAAUUGAACACAGAACCUCAAGCACACAACUAAAACACUUAACCAUUGAAUCAAAUUAAUUUACUUACCAUGAUUCCUACAACGUUAAUUCAAAAACAAUACGUGACCACUCUUGGUUCACUAACCCAAAUUCUACUAAUCUAAUUUUUAUUAUGUGAC
rnacentral:lncRNA from 1 species